rnacentral:rRNA from 1 species
GUGGCGAACGGGUGAGUAACACGUGAGUAACCUGCCCCUGACUCUGGGAUAAGCGUUGGAAACGACGUCUAAUACUGGAUAUGAUCACUGGCCGCAUGGUCUGGUGGUGGAAAGAUUUUUUGGUUGGGGAUGGACUCGCGGCCUAUCAGCUUGUUGGUGAGGUAAUGGCUCACCAAGGCGACGACGGGUAGCCGGCCUGAGAGGGUGACCGGCCACACUGGGACUGAGACACGGCCCAGACUCCUACGGGAGGCAGCAGUGGGGAAUAUUGCACAAUGGGCGAAAGCCUGAUGCAGCAACGCCGCGUGAGGGAUGACGGCCUUCGGGUUGUAAACCUCUUUUAGUAGGGAAGAAGCGAAAGUGACGGUACCUGCAGAAAAAGCACCGGCUAACUACGUGCCAGCAGCCGCGGUAAUACGUAGGGUGCAAGCGUUGUCCGGAAUUAUUGGGCGUAAAGAGCUCGUAGGCGGUUUGUCGCGUCUGCUGUGAAAUCCCGAGGCUCAACCUCGGGCUUGCAGUGGGUACGGGCAGACUAGAGUGCGGUAGGGGAGAUUGGAAUUCCUGGUGUAGCGGUGGAAUGCGCAGAUAUCAGGAGGAACA